rnacentral:rRNA from 1 species
GAGACCCCUGCCGCAAAUUGCUAUCAUCGCCCGGAAGGGUGGUGAGGCUAGUUAGCGGGACUGCCGUCGCUAAGACGGAGGAAGGAAGGGGCCACGGCAGGUCAGUAUGCCCCGAAACCCCCGGGCCACACGCGGGCUGCAAUGGUAGGGACAAUCGGUUCCGACCCCGAAAGGGGCAGGAAAUCCAUAAACCCUACCUCAGUUAUGACUGAGGGCUGCAACCCGCCCUCACGAAUCUGGAAUCCCUAGUAACCGCGUGUCAUCAUCGCGCGGUGAAUAC